CCUACGGGAGGCUGCAGUGGGGAAUAUUGGACAAUGGGCGAAAGCCUGAUCCAGCCAUGCCGCGUGUGUGAAGAAGGCCUUCGGGUUGUAAAGCACUUUCAGUGGGGAAGAAAGCCUUGGGGCUAAUACCCUCGAGGAAGGACAUCACCCACAGAAUAAGCACCGGCUAACUCCGUGCCAGCAGCCGCGGUAAUACGGAGGGUGCGAGCGUUAAUCGGAAUUACUGGGCGUAAAGCGCGCGUAGGCGGUCUGAUAAGCCGGUUGUGAAAGCCCCGGGCUCAACCUGGGAACGGCAUCCGGAACUGUCAGGCUAGAGUGCAGGAGAGGAAGGUAGAAUUCCCGGUGUAGCGGUGAAAUGCGUAGAGAUCGGGAGGAAUACCGGUGGCGAAGGCGGCCUUCUGGACCGACACUGACGCUGAUGUACGAAAGCGUGGGUAGCAAACAGGAUUAGAUACCCGGGUAGUC
rnacentral:rRNA from 1 species